rnacentral:rRNA from 1 species
GACGAACCGUGCGAACGUUAUUCGGAAUCAUUGGGCUUAAAGGGUGCGUAGGCGGGCUCCGUGAGUCAGGGGUGAAAUCCCACGGCCCAACCGUGGAAGUGCCUCUGAUACCGCGGGCCUCGAGGGGGAUAGGGGCGUGCGGAACUUCCGGUGGAGCGGUGAAAUGCGUAGAUAUCGGAAGGAACACCGGUGGCGAAAGCGGCGCGCUGGACCUUUUCUGGACGCUGAGGCGCGAAAGCCAGG